CGCCGAGGCUCGGGGUUUCUUCCGCGGGGGCGGGGAGGCUCCGCCGGUGUCCGAGUCGGAGGAGGAGGAAGCGGAGGCCAGAGUUUCCUCGCCGAGAGAGGCCGUGGUGGGAAGCCGGUGGGGCGAGGCGGGGGAGGGGAGGCGGGGGCCGGGGAGAGGGUCGGGGUGAGGGGGGCCGGGGAGGCGGGGAGGGGGUCAGGGUAGGAGGGUGAGGGUGAGGGUGAGAGGAGGGGGAGGAGGAGGAGGGGGAGAAGGAGGAUCCGGGCCCUUUCCCCCCCCCCUCCCGGAGGCAGCUCGGGGUGCGCGGCCCGGGGGUCGCGCCGGGGGGCGCCGCGGGGCGGCUGCGGGGGCGCGGGGCCCGCCGCUGGGCUGAGCCCCGGCAGUGGCUGCGGCGGCGGCGGCGGCGGGCGGCAGCGGAGGCAGCUGCCGCCUCUGUCCUCGGAUCCGCUCCGCUCUGCUCCCUGGUGUGUUGAUUCUUCCCCCAGCUGCUGCCUAAUGGAGUCCAGGCGCUCGCGUCACAGGAAAUGCCUAUACUGCCCUCCUCACUCACUUCCGGUGGCAGGUAUGGAACCUAUAGGGGGCCUGUCACCCAGCACGUGCAUCGGGGGCUGUCCCGGGGGUCAGGGGAGGGAGGCCAGCGGGCCGGCGGGGUCCGCCCCGACCCCAUCCACGACCCCGACUCCUAUCCGAUCCUAUCCCCGGCCCCGCUCGGGCCUUUCCCCUUGCGCCCUGGCUCGGCUGGCUCGACGAGCAGUAAGUUCGUAGCCGCCCUCCGAAGCCGGGCGUGCAUGGGAUGGCAGAGUUGGCGUGCGUGCGUGAGUCCACCAGUGUGGCAUGGGCAUGUAAGGUGCGCGGAGGGACUGCACCUUCUCCAUCAGGUGCAGAAGGUGAGGAUGGGGCAGGGGGCUAGGAGCUUCGACAGGCAGGAACUUCCAGGCACAGGGCUGUGGUAGGCCCCUCUCAAUGGUAACCAGGACCGAAAUCGGGUUUCACAACCUACUUGUUUUAGGGUGGAAAAACUUGAAUUUCCACAGCCAAGUGCCACACAGUUGCUGUACCCGGGGCCAUCCCGGGAGCUGUGAGAUAAUGAGCCGGUGAGACUCUGCUCCACCCUGGGAAGGGGAGUUAGUCUAGAGGAGCAUAUCUUAUGGGGACAAGAAGUCACAAAAAGGCUGUGUGGUGUGUAGAGAAGGGGAGGGACUCUGCUGUUGAGGCUUCACUCUUUUUUAGCACUUGCCCAGCACCUCCUUCUCUCUUCCAGCUGCCUCUUGAGUCACUGCCCAGUUUAGGGAGCAGUAACAUAAACCAAACAGUUGCCUCCAAAAUAUGCAUUCUGAGAAGGAUUCAGGCACCCAUUCAGAUCCAGGCUUGAAAUUUUUACGUGGCAUGUGAGCCUUCUGUGUCAUCAUGACUUACCAAUUUAUGUGAAUGUAGAAAUGCAGCAACAAAGACUGGGCUGAAUCUUAAUCAUUGGCAAAUGGUGUGCAUUAUCCCCAAACAAUUAUUUUCAUGUAUGUGGUUGAUAGCAUCUAUACUCAAUAUGUAUAAAGAUUUUCUCAGAAAUUUAAAGUCUUUCUCUGAAGUAGUUUUCCUGUGGGGAGGGGAAAAAAAACACCUUAGUUUCUAAUUAAUACAUCAUACAUCGCUGAUAUUUAUUAUAGUAAUAACUGAAAGUAAUUUUGAGGCCUUUGGAGACAGUUGUUUUUAAAUUUGGAAAUACAAUAAAAAAUGAUGCUGAUGAGAAAUUAGUAAAGAAUCCUGAGGUUUAUGGAUCCUCAGACAGGAAGAAGUAAGAGGAAGGUCAAUGCAGGAUCUUACAGGGAUUUGGUUUUGUAGUUCUUACUGCUUAAAUUUGCUUCCAGGUGGCAGCUGUAAUUGCAAGGUGACUCACAUACAGUGUUUAUAUUCACCUGAGGCCGACCUGAGUUCUAGUUGAGGUUCAUAGAGC
rnacentral:lncRNA from 1 species